rnacentral:misc_RNA from 1 species
GUCACCUAGAGCAUGGUUUGAUAGAUUCAGUAAGAUCAUGAUAUCUUUCUGGGUAUUAUCAAAGCAAUGCAGAUCAUACUCUAGUUAUGAAACACCGUAGAGGUGAUAUCACAUUGCUUAUUGUUUAUGUUGAUGAUAUAGUGAUGACAGGAGAUGGCAACGAAGAGAUUGCUCAUCUAAAGGAGCGAUUGGCUCAAGAAUUUGAGAUUAAAGACUUGGGUAGAUUAAGG